ACAUGGCAGGACGAUUUUCAGAGAUGGAUCUCUUCCAGCAAUGGACCUGCACACAGGUGCUGCAUGGCUGUCGUCAGCUCGUGUCGUGAGAUGUUGGGUUAAGUCCCGCAACGAGCGCAACCUCGCCUUUAGUUGCCAUCAUUCAGUUGGGCACUCUAAAGGGACUGCCGGUGAUAAGCCGCGAGGAAGGUGGGGAUGACGUCAAGUCCUCAUGGCCCUUACGGGCUGGGCUACACACGUGCUACAAUGGCGGUGACAGUGGGAUGCAAAGGGGCGGCCCCUCGCAAAUCUCAAAAAGCCGUCUCAGUUCGGAUUGUACUCUGCAACUCGAGUGCAUGAAGUUGGAAUCGCUAGUAAUCGUGGAUCAGCAUGCCACGGUGAAUACGUUCCCGGGCCUU
rnacentral:rRNA from 1 species